GGGCGUAAGCGUGCGCAGGCGGUUAUUUAAGACUGAUGUGAAAUCCCCCGGCUCAACCUGGGAACUGCAUUUGUGACUGCGUGACUUGAGUGCGGAAGAGGGGGAUGGAAUUCCAUGUGUAGCGGUGAAAUGCGUAGAUAUGUGGAGGAACACCGAUGGCGAAGGCGACCUUCUGGUCUGGUACUGACACUGAUGCGCGAAAGCGUGGGGAGCAAACAGGAUUAGAUACCCUGGUAGUCCACGCCCUAAACGAUGACUGCUGGUUGUUGGAAGGUUUCCUUCUUUUUAUGCUAACUUUCACGCGAUAUUCACUCCCCCGGGAGAGUACGGGCGCGGUGCUGACUCUCAGGAGUUUUGACGGACGCCCGCACACGCGGUGAGAAUGUGUGUUUUAUUUCAAAGCCACGCAAAAAACCUUACCCCGUCUGUGACGUCCUCUGAUUUCCCUAGAUAUAUUGCUGCUCCUUCGAGAACAUACAGACAGGUGCUGCAUGGUUGUCGUCAGCUCGUGUCGUGAGAUGUUGGGUUAAGUCCCGCAACGAGCGCAACCCUUGACCUUAGUUG
rnacentral:rRNA from 1 species